rnacentral:rRNA from 1 species
UACGUAGGGUGCAAGCGUUGUCCGGAAUUAUUGGGCGUAAAGAGCUCGUAGGCGGUUUGUUGCGUCGGCUGUGAAAUCCCGAGGCUCAACCUCGGGUCUGCAGUCGAUACGGGCAAACUAGAGUAUUGCAGGGGAGACUGGAAUUCCUGGUGUAGCGGUGAAAUGCGCAGAUAUCGGGAGGAACACCGGUGGCGAAGGCGGUUCUCUGGGCCUUACCUGACGCUGAGGAGCGAAAGCGUGGGGAGCGAACAGG